GCCCUCAUAGCUCAGGCGGUAGAGCGUGCCCUUGGUAAGGGCAAGGUCAUGGGUUCGAAUCCCAUUGAGGGCU
rnacentral:tRNA from 1 species